ACUCUCCAACACCUCCCUGGUCAUCGCCACCAUCACUAGCAACAGCACCACCAUCACCUCUCUUGCUCGGUUCCUCUCAUCCCCUACAGGCUCUCCUCCGCCGAACACUUGAAGAAGAAAAACUUGAAGAAGAAGAAAAAGAAGAAGAAGAAGAAAAAGAAGAAGGUCGUCUCUCCUCAUAUCAGUACGCAUCUGCCUUCGCUGAUGACAAUGACUCCGUCUCCUCAUCAUCAUCAUCGUCGAUUCUGCUCGCCUUCUGCUCAUGGGCUUCUCUCUUUGUGGAGCAGAGGUGGAAGAUGUCAAGAAGGUUGCUCUAGCUCACAGACCUCACAGGGCGCUUGUUGAGAAACACCACACGAGCACUGUUGAUGAUGUUUCUAGAUGUGUCUCCGAAUGGCUACAUGCUUCUCAAGAAUGCGAGGAUGAUACCUUCGUACUCUCUAGUAAGCCAAAUAACAAUUGAACUGUAGUUGUGGUGAAAUUUAAGAUAUCAUGAAUUCAUUUGUUAACCAAUAGAAGUCUGUUAUAAAAAUAAGAAAAUUAAAAUUUGAGAGUUAAAGAAAAUCCUAGGCACUAGAUAGCUCUGGUGCUUCCCCCAUCAUUAUAAGCAGUUAAUGUUGAUUUGAAUUUAUCUUAUUUUAUUUCAUUUCAUUUAUUAAGUAUUGUCAUAUUACGGUAAAGUUAUUGUUAUACAUCCAUUUGUUGUCAUAUUUUAUUAUGAUUGCAAAUUAAUUAUAGUUUCACAUUAUGACAUCAGUGGAAACAUAACGAUUUUUGAUAAUCUGUCUCAUAUUACCGAGAGUAAACAAAUAACCUCUAAAAAUCUAACUCGGGUCAUCAAAUUUAAACAAAUAACCUCUGAUAAAGUAGAUGCUAAUGAUUCUUUUCUACUUUUGCAGGAUAAGCAGCUUUGAUCCUCCUCUUAAUUGAGUUUGUGCAUGGUGACUUAAAUUGCUAAAAUUACUGAAAUUAUCCUUUUGUAUAAAGAGCAGGAAUUGAUAACAAGAAGAAAGGAAGAAAUCCUAUAAUUUUAGGUAUUUUUUUUGUAAUGUGCCAUCCAUAGAUUUGAUAGGUUUUCAUUGUGCUACUUUGAAUUUGUUAGGAUUUCAUUUUGCAAAGUAAUCUAACAUAAUACAAAUAGAGAUUUAAGAAAUAUGUCAAACAUAAGUUUGAGUGUGGAAUUUUAUUAACAAUUUUGGUAUGAUUUGAUGUGUUUUUAGUGAUGGUUAUACUUGUGAAAUUUGAUGGUUGUGCAUAUAAAUCUUAUCAUAAUACAAGUUAGAGAUGGAAUUACAUUGAGUGCUAAGUGGAACAUUUGUUUGGAGAAAUGGAAUUUGAUGGUUGAUGUUUUUAGUGUUUAUUAACUUUGUUUAGAUUGAAAGGAAGUCCUUUGUCAUGUAUGAUGAGUGCAUUUUAUAUAGGAGUUUUCAACACAAGAAGAGCACAGUUUCAGUGCCCGUAGCACGGUCGUGCUGGGGAAGCACGGGCUGAAGCACGCCCGUGCUUAUACCUAUGAGGUUUACUGGAAAAUCUCUCCCAGGCGGAGGACAGUACUGUAGCAUGAUUACUAUAGCACCGAUACUAUAACAUGGUUAUUGUAGCAUAAAGUUCAAAGUUUCGAUGCUUUUAGCACGGUCAUACUGGGGGAGCACGGGUAGGAGCACGCCCGUGCUUAUGCAUAUGCGUUUUACAGGUUUUUGACUAUUUUGUGCCGAAGAUUGAUCCCAAAACUCUCGAAAGAGUAUCGUUAAGAUCACGACCAAGGGCACGAUUGUGCUUGCCUCGAGAUUGCCUUUUUAAGCCCCAAAGUUAGGUUGUCAAGGGGACUUUUGCUGGGGUUUCUUCUAGAUCUUCUUGGAGGUGGCGGCUAGACUUCAUCUUCCAUGAAUUGGAGGCGGAUCUGAGGUUCUAGGACACCGAGUAGAGCGGAGCAACGUCUGCUAGACUUCAUCGGAGUACCGUCGGAGUGGUUUGGAAGCAAAAAGAGAGUUUUUCAUGGAUUAUUUCUUUUUUGUUUUCUUUAGUCCUUCAUGCAUUUGUAAAACUAUGAGGGGCUAACUGUG